rnacentral:rRNA from 1 species
GACGAACGCUGGCGGCGUGCUUAACACAUGCAAGUCGAACGGAAAGGCCCUGCUUUUGUGGGGUGCUCGAGUGGCGAACGGGUGAGUAACACGUGAGUAACCUGCCCUUGACUUUGGGAUAACUUCAGGAAACUGGGGCUAAUACCGGAUAGGAGCUCCUGCUGCAUGGUGGGGGUUGGAAAGUUUCGGCGGUUGGGGAUGGACUCGCGGCUUAUCAGCUUGUUGGUGGGGUAGUGGCUUACCAAGGCUUUGACGGGUAGCCGGCCUGAGAGGGUGACCGGCCACAUUGGGACUGAGAUACGGCCCAGACUCAUACGGGAGGCAGCAGUGGGGAAUAUUGCACAAUGGGCGGAAGCCUGAUGCAGCAACGCCGCGUGCGGGAUGACGGCCUUCGGGUUGUAAACCGCUUUCGCCUGUGACGAAGAGUGAGUGACGGUAAUGGGUAAAGAAGCACCGGCUAACUACGUG